rnacentral:rRNA from 1 species
GAUGAACGCUGGCGGCGUGCCUAAUACAUGCAAGUCGAGCGAACGGACGAGAAGCUUGCUUCUCUGAUGUUAGCGGCGGACGGGUGAGUAACACGUGGAUAACCUACCUAUAAGACUGGGAUAACUUCGGGAAACCGGAGCUAAUACCGGAUGAUAUUUUGAACCGCAUGGUUCAAAAGUGAAAGACGGUCUUGCUGUCGCUUAUAGAUGGAUCCGCGCUGCAUUAGCUAGUUGGUAAGGUAACGGCUUAUCAAGGCAACGAUGCAUAGCCGACCUGAGAGGGUGAUCGGCCACACUGGAACUGAGACACGGUCCAGACUCCUACGGGAGGCAGCAGUAGGGAAUCUUCCGCAAUGGGCGAAAGCCUGACGGAGCAACGCCGCGUGAGUGAUGAAGGUCUUCGGAUCGUAAAACUCUGUUAUUAGGGAAGAACAUAUGUGUAAGUAACUGUGCACAUCUUGACGGUACCUAAUCAGAAAGCCACGGCUAACUACGUG